rnacentral:rRNA from 1 species
GGCUCAGAACGAACGCUGGCGGCGCGCCUAAUACACGCAAGUCGAGCGAGAAGACGUAGCAAUACGUUUGUAAAGCGGCGAACGGGUGAGGAAUACAUGGGUAACCUACCCUCGAGUGGGGAAUAACUAACCGAAAGGUUAGCUAAUACCGCAUACGGCUCCUGGUCUGCGGAUCGGGAGAGAAGGCGAUACCGUGGGUAUCGCGCUCUUGGAUGGGCUCAUGUCCUAUCAGCUUGUUGGUGAGGUAACGGCUCACCAAGGCUUCGACGGGUAGCUGGUCUGAGAGGACGAUCAGCCACACUGGCACUGCGACACGGGCCAGACUCCUACGGGAGGCAGCAGUAAGGAAUAUUGCGCAAUGGGCGACAGCCUGACGCAGCGACGCCGCGUGGGGGAUGAAGGUCUUCGGAUUGUAAACCCCUUUCGGCAGGGAAGAUGGAACGGGUAACCGUUCGGACGGUACCUGCAGAAGCAGCCACGGCUAACUUCGUGCCAGCAGCCGCGGUAAUACGAAGGUGGCAAGCGUUGUUCGGAUUUACUGGGCGUACAGGGAGCGUAGGCGGUUGGGUAAGCCCUCCGUGAAAUCUCCGGGCCUAACCCGGAAAGUGCAGAGGGGACUGCUCAGCUAGAGGAUGGGAGAGGAGCGCGGAAUUCCCGGUGUAGCGGUGAAAUGCGUAGAGA